UUUACUCUUGGAGAAUUAUGAGUAAAUGAGUCUGUCACAAAAAGUAUUAUAGGUUCAUGAAACUACAUCCAAACUUGUAUCUAUCCGAUUCCCGGUCAGCGAAAGCACCUGGCUUGAUUUUGGAUCACUACUCAUACUGAUGUCAUGCAGCUGCAGACACCACGAUCUCAUGAGAGGAAAGAGGCUGCAGUUUUUACAACCAGGCCUCUCAGUUACUCUGCACCAGCAUUUCCACACAGUGACAGGAACCUCCUGGUGCUCCUCCUGAGGAGUGCGCACAGCUCCAGCGAUGCGCGGAGGAUCCCCUGGGAGUUUAUUUGAGAGACACCACCUGCGGGGUUCUGAGUGGCAUCAUUAACAAAGGUUUUCUACAGACAAAGAUGUGAGAAGUGUCUUCAAGGAGAGACGGAUUCACUGCACAAGAAUCUCAGCUGCUGAAUCACUCUGAAGCCAGAACGCCUCAGCUGGAAAACAGGAAAAAAAACUAUAUAGUCAUAUAUGUAUCAUGUAUGUACAGUACAGACCAAAGGUUUGGACACGCAGUUGUGUCAAAACAUUUGGUCUGUACUGUACAUGUGCAUAUAAAUAUAGAUUUUCCAGUAUGUAUUAUUCAGUAUUAAUCAUUACUGAAUCAUCUUUGUUUCUCUAUAUUUGUAUUUUGUGUUUGUAUAUUUAUAGAAAUAUUUUACUAAUAUAUUGCUAAGUAAAUGUAUAAAACAUUAUGAUGUAAAAUUCUCAUCAUAAAAUCAGAAUAUUCU